UCCAACAAAGAAACAAAGAACUCCAAUGUUAAAACACACUCUCUUUCGCUUUUCUUCCAGUUUCUUAUAAACCAAACACGUUUUAGAGAAAGAGAGAGAAUACUUCAAUGCUCUUAACAACAGGUUUGCUCUUAAGAGAAUACCUGGGUUGUGAUAAUAACAAUCAAAGAAACAAAGAAUGUGCUAUGCUUCUUAAACAUCUCAAUAACAGUACCAACAUGAAUGACAUAAACACUGCCAACUCUAGAGUUAGCAAAGAUAGCAUAUACUAAAGAAAUAUAAAAGAGAAAGCAAAAGCUGCAGCAACCCAUAUUGUCAAGGACCUUAUGUUUCAUUAUUUAAAGCGGUAAAAAUUUCAUCUUUCUUAAUUUUGUUUUCUACAUCAGCACUUGUUGUUUUGUUUUUGGGGAGGCACAAAACUGCUGCUGCUCCUAAACAGUUCAGCGGGUCACCGUUGGGUUUGUGAGGCCGGUCUAUGAUACCGUCAAUCAUAUAUGGGAGAUCGGCGCCUCUUGUACAUCUGAUGAGAUAUAUUAUGUGGAAAACCACAGGAUAAUUUCCUGAUGGUAACGGAAAAGAAAAGAGAGGGUUAGUUAAGUGAGGAUUAAACCGAUCGGCCAUGUAUGGAGAUUAACCCCCUGAUGCACACGUUAUGAGAGGACAAGCCAUGUGUGAGGACGGCUAGCUGGGGGGUUUUGAUGACCUUAUAGACCAAUCUCCACUUGUUUGAUUAUAUAAAGAUGAUAGUGUUUGUGGCUGCUGUUGAUGUGUCGUAUGUGUUUAAAUGAAUGUUCACUUUUAUAUUACCUAGGAGCCUCUUGUGUGACUGUCUGGAUUUGUAUUAUUUAUUAUUACUCAAUGAGGCACUAGUUUUUCAAGAAUCAGGGUUACUGCCUCUACAUGUGCCAGAAGCUCUAUAUUCUUUCCUGUACAUAGCUAGAUAGGAUAAAGUCAAUUGAAUAUUCUUAUUAUUGUAUA